UUAAGGUUACUGUAAUGACAACUGCCAGCAUGGAGCACUGAGGUUAGUGAAUGGAGGUGCUACCUACAGAGGAAGACUAGAGAUUUGUAUUAACUCUGUAUGGGGAAGUGUAUGUGAUGAUUCCUUUGGUACUGUUGAUGCAAGAGUAGCUUGUAGGCAGCUUGGAUAUGAAGUAGAUGGAGGACAAUCUAUAAGUUACUAUCAUAAUGCUUAUUAUGGUCAAAGCACUGGUCCAAUAUGGCUCAACCGCCUGCUUUGUACUGGAUCUGAGAAUAACUUGCUGGACUGCAAUAAAGCUGUUGAUAUUGGUAGUACUUUUGGUUGUUCACACUCAGAAGAUGUUGGUAUAGUUUGUCCAGCUAAUUCAUGUAGUACUGGAUCAGUGAGACUCACUGAUGGACUAAUACCAACAGAAGGAACUGUUGAAGUGUGUAAUAAUGGAGCAUGGACUAGUGUCUGUGAUAGUGGCUGGGGAUAUC